UACGAAGGGGGCUAGCGUUGCUCGGAAUUACUGGGCGUAAAGCGCACGUAGGCGGAUUGUUAAGUCGGGGGUGAAAUCCUGGAGCUCAACUCCAGAACUGCCUUCGAUACUGGGGAUCUUGAGUCCGGAAGAGGUGAGUGGAACUCCGAGUGUAGAGGUGAAAUUCGUAGAUAUUCGGAAGAACACCAGUGGCGAAGGCGGCUCACUGGUCUGGUACUGACGCUGAUGCGCGAAAGCGUGGGGAGCAAACAGGG
rnacentral:rRNA from 1 species